CGACGACGUCGAGCGGCUCCUUGGCCCGCUUCUCGUCCUUCGGGAACAAGCGGAGUCCUAAGACGAGUGCCGCCGCGCCGAUCGGCACGUUGAUGA
rnacentral:tRNA from 1 species